UCACCCCUCAAGCCCCCGGCUUGGUGUUGGACGGUUUGGUGGCGGCCUCGGCCUCCACCCCUCCCAAAGACAAUGACGGCGGCCUCGUUGGACCCCCGGUACACUGAGUUCUUCACGGGACACGUACCGGACACAAGGGCCCACGGGGCACGGUCUGCCUCCCCUCAGGGAGAACUUUUCUACAAGG
rnacentral:misc_RNA from 1 species